rnacentral:tRNA from 1 species
UCCCAGGUGACCUAGCAGGUUAAAGAUACAGCACUGUCACUGCUGUGGCUCAGGUUCAAUCCCUGGCCUGGGAA